AACGGUCUAUACCUGCGGUACCUGCGGAAGGAUCAUUACAGAGUUCAUGCCCUCACGGGUAGAUCUCCCACCCUUGAAUACUAUACCUUUGUUGCUUUGGCGGGCCGCUUUGGCUACUGGCUCUGGCUAGUAAGUGCCCGCCAAAGAACCCCAAAACUCUGAAUAUUAGUGUCGUCUGAGUACUAUAUAAUAGUUAAAACUUUUAGCAACGGAUCUCU
rnacentral:misc_RNA from 1 species